rnacentral:rRNA from 1 species
GUAAUGUAUGGGGAUCUGCCUGAUGGGGGGGGAGUAACUACUGGAAACGGUAGCUAAUACCGCAUAAUGUCUGCGGACCAAAGCGGGGGACCUCCGGGCCUCGCGCCAUCAGAUGAACCCAUAUGGGAUUAGCUAGUAGGUAAGGUAACGGCUUACCUAGGCGACGAUCCCUAGCUGGUCUGAGAGGAUGAUCAGCCACACUGGGACUGAGACACGGCCCAG